GCUCGGAUGGCGAAAUUGGUAGACGCAACGGACUUAAAAUCCGUCUCCCGCAAGGGAAUGUGGGUUCGAUUCCCACUCCGAGCACCA
rnacentral:tRNA from 2 species